AGAGUUUGAUCCUGGCUCAGAUUGAACGCUGGCGGCAUGCUUUACACAUGCAAGUCGAACGGUAACAGGGUGCUUGCACCGCUGACGAGUGGCGAACGGGUGAGUAAUGCAUCGGAAUGUACCGUGUAAUGGGGGAUAGCUCGGCGAAAGCCGGAUUAAUACCGCAUACGCCCUGAGGGGGUAAGUGGGGGACCGUAAGGCCUCACGUUAUACGAGCAGCCGAUGUCUGAUUAGCUAGUUGGUGGGGUAAAGGCUCACCAAGGCUUCGAUCAGUAGCGGGUCUGAGAGGAUGAUCCGCCACACUGGGACUGAGACACGGCCCAGACUCCUACGGGAGGCAGCAGUGGGGAAUUUUGGACAAUGGGCGCAAGCCUGAUCCAGCCAUGCCGCGUGUCUGAAGAAGGCCUUCGGGUUGUAAAGGACUUUUGUCCGGGAGCAAAUCCCAGUGGUUAAUACCUACUGGGGCUGAGAGUACCGGAAGAAUAAGCACCGGCUAACUACGUGCCAGCAGCCGCGGUAAUACGUAGGGUGCAAGCGUUAAUCGGAAUUACUGGGCGUA
rnacentral:rRNA from 1 species